rnacentral:tmRNA from 18 species
GGGGAUGACUGGAUUCGACAGGGCCGUAGGUGCGAGGAUUGCAGGUCGAGGUCGCCCACGAACUCGUAAAAAGGGGCAGCCAAGUAACUGGCGAGCGCGAACUCGCUCUGGCUGCGUAAUUCACGCAGCCACGUCUGCCCGGACCCUUCCCUGGUGGGUUCGGAGCGGGCGCCGCAAGACCGGGGUGCCCCUGGCCCAAGCGCCGGUGCGGGCCAGGUCAAGCGUGAUCCGGCUCGGCUGACCGGGAUCCUGUCGGUGGGAGCCUGGCAGCGACAGUAGAACACCGACUAAGCCUGUAGCAUAUCCUCGGCUGAACGCUCUGGACGGGGGUUCGACUCCCCCCAUCUCCACCA